ACCGGGCUUGGAGGCGGCCGCAGCUAGCGCCUGGCCCGACUGUGGUGAGGGGAAGGCCUCAUCCGGCCUGCGGGGCAGAGCCGGUACCGCAGAGCACGGCAGCCCGGUACCGCAGAACACGGCAGCCCGGUACCGGGCCCUCGGUUGUCAGGUUCCACCAAGACCCAGCCCUGCAGAUAUGAUCCAGAGGACAUCCAUGUUUGUAGGAAAGCUCCCACUAACUUCAGCACAUGCUGGACCCGCUCUUUAGACCUGACUGCUGCAGACAAGCUGGUGCUUACAUUUGCAGUGAUGAACACUUACAAGAUCCUUCAGGUCUUGGAUAGCUUGAUUCUUUCCUGCCUUCCCAUCAAUUACCAUAGUGCUGCACCUCUUGGGGCUUGUAGACAUCCUGGCUCCUGGAUUCCCUGUUUGGGGGCUCUGCUAACCCUUUUCCAGAUGAAGAGUGGACACUGAAGAGGCAAAGGUCCUGCAGCACUGACAGAGUCACUGACAAGAGGAGUGGCCUCACCAGCUGUUGUGUCCAGGCUUUCCAACCUACAGAGUACAAGUCAGAGGAGCUGGGUCCCAGUUCUGGCUCUGCCUGUGGUUCUCUGCAUCAUCGUAUUCCCUCUAGGCUUUCUCAGCUGAAAAACAGGAAUCAUAAUAUUUCCUUACCCACAAAAGCUGUUGGAGGAUUACUGCAUUGUUGUGAGUUCCACAGAUGAAAGGUACUACAGAAGAACAAACGGCAAUUAUUGUUUCAAACCCCUGCCCUGGGCCUGUCAUCCUCAACUCGCUGAACAACACUGACUCAAUCGAGGAAAUCCUGCCACCACAGUGAAGAAAAUUAUUGGUAAAGAUGACUCUGUUGCAAUAAGAGCAUUUAUCCGCUUGUGUUCAACUCCUUUCUGUCUGCCACUGGAUGAUCGGAGUCAUAUAAUCGCAGACACUGACUACACGCUCUUAAGCAAUCUUCUAUUUGAACACUAUUAUUUCUUUAUCCCAAACAUGGCUGUUACUGAAUAAAUUCUCUUUUUGUAAUGUACA
rnacentral:lncRNA from 14 species